UUUAAUAGGGGCUCAAAGAGAAGGGAGAGAGUCAACAUUCAGUGAGAAAAUGUCUGAGAAUUUUCCACAGUUGAAGAAAGACACAAACCCUCAGAUUGGAGAUUUACAACGCAUCCAGAGCAACAAGAAGAAAAAAAUGAAUCCGCACCUAUGUACUCCGAAGUAAAACAGCAGACUGAUGAAUUAAUGCAUUAGGAGAGGUAUUCUCGUAGUUACAACUUCACAUUUCUAUCACACUCCAGUCACCCCUCCAUUUUGAUUUGCUCCCUGAACCACAGAGCUGAAAGGAAACAGGGAUCAUCUCACUUAAACCUUUUAGUUUAUUGAGGGGAAACGGAGGCCAGAGUGGAGGCGCGGCUUUCCCAAGACCAUCCCAGGAGCUCAAGUCAACAGAAAUCUGGUAUCGCAAACCCUAACUUAGGCUCUUUCCGGGAGCUCUGAGGCUGUAUCUGAGUCUCCACGGUGGUCUGAGGACAAAAGAGAGAAUGCCCACAGUGGGGAAGUGACCAAAAUAAACAAGGACAAUCUAUUAGCAUUAAACACUGACUAAAUGAGACCCAAUAUUAUCCUUUAUUAAGUCAAGCUGAGAAGUUGAACGCAGGAGCCGUUUUGUAUGUCAGCACCAUAGCAAUUAUGAAUGGACUGAUUAAUAAGUAAACAAACAAAUACUAGGAAAUCAGGCUUGUUUUAAUGCUUCAAACUCGCAAUAACACCCUGCUAACAUGAACUCCAAGUAUUAACACUAAUAACCACACUAAUCAUAGGCAUGAAAAUUCCAAAUUAAUUCAAAUGCUGCUCAAUAGACCAUCACUGUGUCCUCCCUGCCUGUUCCUUUUCUAUCUGUUCAGAUCUCCAUGCAGUAAUUAAAUCCAUUAAAAUGUAAAACUAGCUUUUGUGCUCAAGGGGAAAAAUGAAAAAGGACUCUGACCAGCAUCCCUGGGGAUGGACCUGUGAGUUCUCAGAACUUCAGUUAUAUCCAAAUUCUUGGCUCUUUUUUUUUUUUUUUUUCUGAAACAGCAGCUCUCCCUCACGGGGAUCCAGUUGCCAGGCUGAGUCCGCAGCAUUUCUUAUCAAAAUAGAAGACGUGGCUUUAUGGAGAGGAUGAGCAGAGGACUAGGAGAAGACAGGCCGACGUCCUGGCUCUGCCUCGUAGAGCUGCCCUUGAUUGAAAGGAUCUCAAACCCACUUGAAGCAAUUGCUCAAAUUUUGGCUUCAUGACAUGCCAACUGUACCAAUGUUAGGUAAGGAGUGGGAAAACUCUGGGCUGGCUUCCAGGGUAUCUACUCAGCUGUCCUGUAUCACCAACAAAUGUACUGUGUAAGACAACCUUGGCCAAGCUUCCUCUUUCAACCAAGCCUCAGUUUCCCUCUCUGAAAAAUGAGCCAUAUUUGACCCAUUGACGCCUGGCCCACACCACUGAGAAUGUGACUGAAAAGUGCUUUCUACAGUUGAGAGAGUUUUACCCCCCUAGGAGGGUAUAUGUAUUACUUUUAUUUGAUUAUAGAGGAAGUAACAUCACAUGGCCCUCCAACUGUUCUCCCUCCUAAAAUAUACUUGUUUAGAAAGACAAACAAAAUAGGAAUUGUCCAAGAAAGACAAUGGAAAGAGUACUUAUGCCCAUUAUCUGUAGUGGUUAAUAUAUCAACUUGGCGGAUGUUUUUGGAUGAGUUUUACAUUUAAUCAGUGAACUUUGAGUAAGCAGUUGAGAGCGUGAAUAGCACAAAAAGACCAGUCUCCUGGAGCAAGAGAGAAUUCUCUGUCAAACUACCUUCAGAGUUCGUCUGUACCAUCAGCUCUGCUGGAUCCUGAAACUGCUUGUCGACAGGCAGAAUUUGGACUCACCAGCCCCCAUAACUGUGUAAGCCAAUUCCUUAUAAUAAAUCUGUUUCUCUGUAUAUA